rnacentral:lncRNA from 12 species
AAGACAUUCUGCUUCUAUGAAACAUAACUAUUUUUUGUCCUGACUGUGGCUGUGCAAACCCCUGUGGAAAAACAAGAGGAAAUUUAAUAGGAGCAAGUAUAGUAGGAUUCUACAAGAAUUUAAAGUCCCACCAAAACUUUUAAG